rnacentral:rRNA from 1 species
AUUGAACGCUGGCGGAAUGCUUUACACAUGCAAGUCGAACGGCAGCACGGACUUCGGUCUGGUGGCGAGUGGCGAACGGGUGAGUAAUACAUCGGAACGUGCCCAGUCGUGGGGGAUAACGUAGCGAAAGCUACGCUAAUACCGCAUACGAUCUAAGGAUGAAAGCGGGGGACCGUAAGGCCUCGCGCGAUUGGAGCGGCCGAUGGCAGAUUAGGUAGUUGGUGGGAUAAAGGCUCACCAAGCCGACGAUCUGUAGCUGGUCUGAGAGGACGACCAGCCACACUGGGACUGAGACACGGCCCAGACUCCUACGGGAGGCAGCAGUGGGGAAUUUUGGACAAUGGGCGCAAGCCUGAUCCAGCCAUUCCGCGUGCAGGAUGAAGGCCCUCGGGUUGUAAACUGCUUUUGUACGGAACGAAAAGGCUCUGGUUAAUACCUGGGGCUCAUGACGGUACCGUAAGAAUAAGCACCGGCUAACUACGUGCCAGCAGCCGCGGUAA